GCACCCCACUCUAGCUUCUGCAUUAGGCCUGCCCCUCUGGAAGGAGGCAGAACUCCUCCUGAGGAAGCCUGCGCUGCCCCUGGGCAGGGACAGAGGAAAGAGCUCAGGAAGGGACAGAACUGAAAUAACCCGUGCCACCUUGACACUCGCCCAUGGAUGGCGGACGGAGAAAUGGGGGCUCAUAGCCCGAGUCUAAUCUCCAAAAGAAGAGUGAGCCCAUCUGACAUAUCGUAUGAGCACGGAGCUUAGGGGACUCUUCACCAAAACCUAGACAAACAUUUGAGUGCAUUUUUUUUUUUUUUUGGAAAGGGAGAUAGCGCCCAGUGGGUCUGUUUUAUAAUGCAUUUGUGUAAGGGGGACGAAGGAGGAAAUGGGAUUUAAAAAUAAAACUGUUUACUUCA